ACCUUCUUCCUAAUCAAUUGCUAGUAGACAAACUCAUAAAUAUCUAGAUGCACUUAUAUUGUUUUUGUUUUUAAAAUUUUUGUUCAUAAAAUAUCUAGCUACAUGCAGCUUUGACAUGUGUAUAAAUACCUCAGAACACGAGCAUAUAUUGCAUUGCAUCCCACCAAGAGGAGAGUGCUACCAGGAGCAGAGUCCUUUUGCUCCUGUUUUUCCUUCUUUUUGUUUGAAUUUUUAAGUUUUUUUUAGAGUAGUGAGAAAAAAACAUGGCAAUUGGGCAGUUCAGAGAUGUUGAAAAUGGAGAAAAUAACACCCUUGAGGAUUUGGAACAGCCUCUGUUCAUUAAGCAGGAGAAAAUUGUUUCCUAUGAAGAUGAAUAUGGGAGUGAUGAGAAGAGUACUGAGAAAAGUGGAUCCAUUUGGAUGGUUUUGCUCAGCACUUGUGUUGCUGUUUGUGGCUCUUUUGAGUUUGGAUCAUGUGUGGGCUAUUCAGCUCCCACUCAAUCUGCUAUCAGGGAAGAUCUCAAUCUCUCUCUUGCCCAGUUCUCCAUGUUUGGCUCUAUACUAACAAUUGGUGCAAUGCUGGGUGCUAUAACAAGUGGUCGGAUUGCAGAUUUUCUCGGUCGAAAAGGGGCAAUGAGAAUGUCAGCUAGUUUUUGCAUUACAGGAUGGCUAGCCAUCUUUUUCUCUAAGGGCGCUUUGUCCCUUGACAUAGGAAGGUUUUUCACUGGAUAUGGAAUUGGAGUUUUCUCCUAUGUGGUCCCAAUAUUUAUAGCAGAAAUCGCCCCCAAAAAUCUCCGCGGAGCGCUUACAACAUUAAAUCAGCUCAUGAUUGUGACUGGAGCAUCAGUUGCAUUUGUAAUAGGAACAAUUAUAAGUUGGACAACACUUGCUCUAACUGGCAUUGUUCCUUGCAUUUUCCUGCUUGUGGGUCUAUGGUUUGUGCCGGAGUCGCCUCGAUGGCUGGCAAAGAUUGGCCAUGAGAAAGAAUUUCAAAUUGCACUACAGAGACUCCGUGGAAAACAUGCUGAUAUAUCUGAUGAAAUGGCUGAAAUUCAAGAAUAUAUUGUUACUCUACAAAGUCUUCCAAAAGACAAAUUGUUGGAUUUGUUUAAAAGCGAACAUAUUUCCUCUGUAAUUAUUGGGGUUGGAUUAAUGGUGUUUCAACAGUUUGGAGGUAUUAAUGGGAUAGGAUUCUAUGCAAGUCAAACCUUUGAAGAAGCUGGAAUUUCAAGCAAAACCGGAACCAUAGCUUAUGCAUGUGUUCAGGUCCCGAUCACUAUGGUCGGAGCAAUGUUAAUUGAUAAGUCAGGAAGGAGGCCUCUUAUAAUGGUUUCAGCAACUGGGACAUUCCUAGGCUGUUUUCUAGCAGGAACUUCUUUCUUUCUGAAGGGAUAUGGUUUGUUGCUUGAUUGGGUACCGAUAAUAGCUGUGUCCGGCGUGCUGACUUACAUUGCGUCCUUCUCGAUUGGAAUGGGAGCUGUGCCUUGGGUGAUAAUGUCUGAGAUUUUUCCAAUCCAUGUGAAGGGAGCUUCUGGGAGCUUGGUAGUGCUUGUGAACUGGUUGGGUGCUUGGGCAAUUUCCUACACCUACAACUUUCUCAUGAGCUGGAGUUCCUCAGGAACUUAUUACAUUUACUCUGGAUUUUCUUUGUUGACCAUCCUAUUUGAGGCCAAGUUAGUCCCGGAAACCAAAGGCAAAACCCUAGAAGAAAUUCAGUCAUGCAUCAAUUCAGAUAGAUCAAGAAGACAAGACAUCAGCUGAUAACAUUUAAGAGUAGAUAUGUCAGAAAAUUUCCGUGGGAUUUUGGCUCGAAAGUGUUUUCUCCAUUUUGAUUUGGAGUUUUGUGACUUGGAGACUUAUAUCCGACUGUGAACGUGCUUAUAGCAAACCUUGAGCCUGUGCAUUGGGGGUAGUAUUUUGGAGUCUUGUAGACCGUCAGUAGCUGCACGUAGGGAGGCUACAAAGGCUUUAAGACAACGUCUUUGACGUGCUUCACUAUAUCAGACUUACUUUCUUAAUCUUAAUUUUUUUUAAAUGUUUUUUUUUA